AUGAACGCUGACAGAAUGCUUAACACAUGCAAGUCUUUGGCGAAGCUGUGCUUGCACAGCCUAGCCAAGGCGGACGGGUGAGUAACGCGUAAGGAACUUGCCCUGCAGUCAGGGAUAACAGACGGAAACGACUGAUAAGACCUGGUAAAGUCAGGCGGACUCAUGUCCAGCCUGAUGAAAAGAGAUGCUGCAGGAGAGCCUUGCGUCCUAUUAGCUUGUUGGUGGGGUAACGGCCCACCAAGGCGAUGAUAGGUAGCCGGCCUGAGAGGGUGGACGGCCACAAGGGGACUGAGAUACGGCCCUUACUCCUACGGGAGGCAGCAGUGGGGAAUAUUGGACAAUGGGGGCAACCCUGAUCCAGCAAUUCUGUGCGCACGAUGAAGGUUUUCGGAUUGUAAAGUGCUUUCAGCAGGGAAGAAAAAAAUGACGGUACCUGCAGAAGAAGCGACGGCUAAAUACGUG
rnacentral:rRNA from 1 species